rnacentral:rRNA from 1 species
UACGGAGGAUGCGAGCGUUAUCCGGAUUUAUUGGGUUUAAAGGGUGCGUAGGUUGUUUUUUAAGUCAGCGGUAAAAGCCCGGGGCUCAACCCCCGGCGAGCCGUUGAAACUGGCGGGCUGGAGUUGGAGAGAAGUACGCGGAAUGCGCGGUGUAGCGGUGAAAUGCUUAGAUAUCACGCAGAACCCCGAUUGCGAAGGCAGCAUACCGGUGCACAACUGACGCUCAGGCACGAAAGCGUGGGUAUCGAACAGG